rnacentral:rRNA from 1 species
AACGAACGCUGGCGGCGCGUUUUAAGCAUGCAAGUCGGGCGGGAAGGGACUUCGGUCCUGGAGAGCGGCGGACGGGUGAGUAACACGUGGAUAAUCUGCCUUUCAGUCGGGGAUAGCAUCUGGAAACAGGUGAUAAUACCGGAUACGAGCGUGGCAUCGAUGAUGCUGCGGGGAAAGGGGCUACGGCCCCGCUGGAAGAUGAGUCCGCGGCCCAUUAGCUAGAUGGCGGGGUAAAGG